AAAGCCUCCUUCGGGGGGCAAGUAGAGUGGCGCACGGGUGUAGUAACACGUAGGUAAUCUACCUUUGGAUUGGGAAUAACCAUCGGAAACGGUGGCUAAUACCGAAUAAUGCAGCGGCACCUAAUGGUGACAGUUGUUAAAGCGGGGGAUCGAAAGACCUCGCGUCUGAAGAGGAGCCUGCGGCAGAUUAGCUAGUUGGUAAGGUAACGGCUUACCAAGGCGAUGAUCUGUAGCCGGCCUGAGAGGGCGGUCGGCCACACUGACACUGACAUACGGGUCAGACUCCUACGGGAGGCAGCAGUCGGGAAUUUUGGGCAAUGGGCGAAAGCCUGACCCAGCAACGCCGCGUGAAGGAUGAAAUCCUUCGGGAUGUAAACUUCGCAAGAACGGGAAGAAUAAGUAAGGGUUAAUAUCUCUUACGAUGACGGUACUGUUUGUAAGCUCCGGCUAACUCCGUGCCAGCAGCCGCGGUAAUACGGGGGGAGCAAGCGUUGUUCGGAUUUACUGGGCGUAAAGGGCGCGUAGGCGGCCACCGCAAGUCGACUGUGAAAUCUCCGGGCUUAACCCGGAACGGUCAGCCGAUACUGCGGGGCUAGAGUGCAGAAGGGGCAACUGGAAUUCUCGGUGUAGCGGUGAAAUGCGUAGAUAUCGAGAGGAACACCUGCGGCGAAGGCGGGUUGCUGGGCUGACACUGACGCUGAUGCGCGAAAGCUAGGGGAGCGAACGGGAUUAGAUACCCCGGUAGUCCUAGCCUUAAACGAUGAAUGCUUGGUGUCUGGGGUUUUAUAGUCCCCGGGUGCCGUCGCUAACGCUUUAAGCA
rnacentral:rRNA from 1 species